GCCUCUUCGGCACGGUCAGCAACCACGAUGAGGCGUCCCUCCCCUUGACUGACAUUCUCUUAACGUCUUCUCAGCUUCACAGUUUGCCUGUUCCAGCUUUUCCUCUUCUCCAAUUUCCUCAACUUAUGAUGGGGUUGGAUAUGAGGGAAAGUUUUGAGUAUGCCUAAAUGCUAGAGGUGAGGGACCAAUGAAGCAAGCUGUGGAUAAAGAAGAAGGAGAGCUGCAGUCCAAGGUGAGGAACGAAGAGGCCACCACCAGUUAACCCUGCCAUGAUACUCAGAAAGCUAGAAGACUCCAAACACAGAAACUUCAAUCUCCACCACUGUGCUUGUUAGUAGACAUACCCACUGGGAGUUUACCUUUCAGAUCUCAAAUGAAGCAUGGUAUCGGGGAACGCUAUCGUCGUACCUGGAGCGUUUAAAGAAUCCGCACUGAUCAAGGGGAGAGAGAAGCAGAAACAAAUUAAGGAUUGCAAGAAAAGCAAGUGCACAAAAUGGGAAUGUCUAAGCUUUCUGUUCAGCUACGCCUACCUCUGGAUGAAGGGAAAAAAAUGGUUUCUUUUAAGAAGGAACGAGCAGGUUGAAAAGACAACAGCCAUUGGGGAUAAGCGGAAGAGAAGACAGCUGUAAAACUAGAAGGAAAGUCCGUUUUUUCCAUCUUGUCUUUACAUUUUAUAACAAUGUAGUAAGCUACCUCUUUACUAACAAUUUCAGAGCUCUGGAACAGUGCUUCCAUUUUUUAUAAUCACAAUACUCUGUUAAAAAGAUCUCAAUUUUAGACUAGAUGUUAAAUAACAAUCUUUUUAAAGGCCACAAACUAAA